rfam:Corchorus capsularis cultivar CVL-1 contig07799, whole genome shotgun sequence.
AGAGAUUGCGAUGAGGAUUCACAGCUCCCUCUUCCGAUUAAUUUCGUGAAGAAAUCAGCUGGCAGAAUCGAACCUAUAACUUUAUCGCCACCACUGAGCUU